rnacentral:tRNA from 1 species
GGGAAUUUGGCUCAGUGGUAGAGCGCUUGCCUAGCAAGCACAAGGCCCUGGGUUCAGUUUCCAGCUCCCG